GGGGAGAGGGAGAAAGGCUCUCCCACCUCUGCAUCAUUGCUCUGGGUGAACCCAAAUCACAAACCCAGUAACCCUACAUUCAAAUCCAGCAAAUCAAGGUCUCCAUACUAUAAUUUCUCUUCUCAAACUCCCAUUAACAGACCCACUUUCUCAGUCCCUCGUCACCCUCAAUUUUCUUCCUCGCCAUCAAAGACCCAAGCUCUAUGCCAUGGCACUUGGCCUCCAUCAGCCCAAGUGCAGCACGAUAUCUGAACGCAUCCAACGAUCCCACGAGCAGGGAUUUUAUACUAUAAUCAACUGAGGUCAGUUUGCCAGCUUGUGCUCUUAUUACUGAUUGCUGAUAUAUAAGAAAGAUAAAAAUUGCUCAAAUAUCUACUUAUAAUUAUUGCUAGUAUACAGUUUAUUUUUUUAUGUCUUCAACCCUAUGGUGUGGCAAUAAUGGAAUCUCAUCAUCAAAUGAGGACACAAAGCUACUGAACUCGUCACUCUCAUUAGUUUCUUCUUCUUUUGCUUUUCCCCAUGUCACAGCAUAAAACCCAAUGUACAUGACAACUGCCCCAAUAAGACUGCAAAAUUAGAAAAAUAAAGAAAUUAAAGUUAAUUAGUGCUGCUUCUCUAUUUCUACAUGAACUUAUUCUGGAGGACUAAAAUGCUUUAAGUACCUUCCAAGAUGCAAAGCAUCACCAAGAAAUAUGAGGCUCACAAU
rnacentral:misc_RNA from 1 species